GCAUGCCAGUGAUAAUUAAAGAUCUACCAAUAGUGAAUUGCAUGUGCUCGUGUGCUGCUGAGUGCGCAGCUGGGAUGAUAUUAUGCUGUUUUUCUGAAGAUGUUUCUGAGACAUUA
rnacentral:snoRNA from 1 species